AUCUUGACCUCAAAUCAGGUGGGACUACCCGCUGAC
rnacentral:rRNA from 1 species